UUGUGCUAUUUUGUUUUGCCCGUAUCAGGAUCAACAGCUGGAGCUAUUGCCUUUAAUAUGUAAUGAUCUGAGCCCUGCAGCUGGUCAAAUGUUCUGGUACCAUCUAAGUUGUCUUGUGAAGAAGUGGAGGUGUUUUUGAAGAGCUGUGUAUCUUCUGCUGGAUGAUUUUGCUGCAUCUUUCUCUCAUCGUUUUGGACACUUUACUACUUGCAGAGAUUUCCACAGCCUCUCCCUGCAACUAAUCAGCUCAAGCAAUUUGAUAUGGCUCCUCCCAGGAAAGUUGAUCAUGAAGAGGUAGGAUGUACCUGCUGCGGUAAGUGGUACGCUCAUGAAUGAGGCAUCACGUUUUGGAUCUCCAGGACCCCAUAACGAAGGCCUCCGGUCUUGCCCCCUAUUAUUAAGCAAGUAAGUUUCAUGAAUUACCAUGUAAAGCAGGUAGAUGAGAUAAACUACUUCAGGUACAUUCUGGCUUAGAAAAAUCCACACCAGAGGUUUCAGUUCUUUUAGAAUCUGUAAAAUAAGAUGGGAUAUAUGUGGCUUUAUAACUGGAUUCUAUGUACUGUAUAAAGACUAUAUAUUGUUGAUUUUUCAACAGGAUUUUAAGUGUUAGUCUAGUUUGGUUUUCAGUCCCAGUCAUAACUCUGCUUUCUACUUGCCUUCUCCACCAACGCUCUUUGACAGGAAAUAUGAUCUCUGUCUUCCACUGACUUGGGACAGGAGUGAUGCUGGUGAAAAUCAAAACUGAUGGUUUUAUGGGCACAUCCUGACAGCUGUGUGGUUUGAACCAUCUGGGCACCCUCUUGAGUCCUGCCUUGUAAUACUUCCAGUACAACUCCUAGCUAACUUAAAUGGAUAAGCUGUUGACUCUUCUGAGCACUGCACACUGCAUCUAAGCUGAUCUUUAUUUCUCCUGGAGGGAAGCAAAGCCCCUGAGAGCUAAAAAUGUGGAAGAAGCCAGAGGAUUUAACUGUCAGAAUAACUGUGUGUCAUGCUUAACCUUAAGACUUGGGAAAGAAGAAAUGAUGGACUACUUCUUGUAUCUGGGAAAAUCCCUGGAGCUACUGGCAGCUUUCAGCAAUUCAGAAGGGCAGAUCUAAGCAAACCAAAGAAAAACAACUGAGUCACUGGGAAUAAAAGCAGUGAUUGGACCAACUGUUAUGAUAAGAUUUGAUGGAUCUGAUCAAACCCUCAAAACCAAUACUUAUCCUUCUGCAGUGGACAAUGUCUGAACCUCUAACAGAAGCAUUAAGGGAAGUGUGCCUCCCCUAAGGGACAAUGAGAAAAUAUUAUGUUGAUCCAUUUUUCUGGAUUUUAACCAAACUUCCCUACAGCAAAUACCUUGACAGAUGAGCACUAUUAGGCUAACCCUAUCUAAAAGAAGCAGAAAAAGGGAAUUUGUGGAGAGAGUUCUAUACCUGCGCCUGAAGAUCAAAAGUCAACAUGGAAAAACAGAGGUUCAGCAUGAAGUAUUGUGACUGUAGGCUUUCUAGAGCACCGCCCACUCGGAAGGCCAUCAUGCUUUCGCUCUGAAUGAGGAGGAUAGCACAGAUCACAUCGAAGGAGCCAACCAAGAGAAUAAGAAUGAAGCGGGCCUGAUAGGAAAGAAAAAUACAGAUGUGACUGGCUAUACUGAAACAGGGAUAAUCUUCAAAUCUCUUUUAACUGGAAAUAAUAGAACAAAUGAGUAAGGACAUCCAGGCUGCCUACUCUCUGCCUAGAGAAAUCUGAAGUAAGCAUUUUAAGUAUGUUACAACUAAACAUGGUAGUUUGUCAUACUGUUAACUGGCAAAGAUCUGAUCAUGAUUCUGGUCAUUUGAUGUAACCACUUGGUAAUAACUGUAAACUCAUAUUGGCUGCUUUUGCUUAUGUUACCCUCAAUAUAGUAGUUUUACAACUGUUAAGAGACAUAAUCUUGGCACUCUCUGUAAUAUCACUACAAUUUUUCGCAUGAUUUUGCUUGAGUUUGAAGAACAGUUUGAAGAAAUUGCUUUAACAGAGACUGGCUCUAAACUUCUUUUAUGGCAUAAAC